rnacentral:rRNA from 1 species
GAUGAGGAAUAUUGGUCAAUGGAGGCAACUCUGAACCAGCCAUGCCGCGUGCAGGAAGACGGUUCUAUGGAUUGUAAACUGCCCUUGUACAGGUUAGGAAUUAUCCCUCGUGAGGGAGCUUGACAGUACUGUAAGAAUAAGGAUCGGCUAACUCCGU